CUUGACAUGGCAAAUGAGCGGGUUGGAUAAUUUGCAGGCAAGUCACUAUACCCAUGGGUCAUAUGGUAUGAGUAAAAUUUACCAAUAAAUAGUGACCCGCAGGUCACAUGGGUACGAGUAAAAUUUACCGAUGAAUUUUUGGGUAAUCAACAUCUUUACCCAUAUCUGCCCACAGAUGAGCAUGUGGGUAUGCGGGUUACUCGCAAGAUUUUUUUUCUUUUAUACCCUAUAUUUUUCAAAUGCAAACUCCAUACAUAAAAUUUUUAACAAUACAACGUAACUUUUUGUUUAAAAUAUCACAACAUAUAAUAAAUAAUAUAAAAUUUUAAAGCACGUAAAUUAUAUAAUAUAAAGAUAUUUUAUUAUCCCAAAUUUUUAUGAUACAAAAUUAAUAAAGUUUUUAUUAUCAUAAAGUCAAUAUUAUAGAGAUUAUAUAUUUUUUAAUUAAAAAAUACAUAUGCGGGUACCCGUGGGUACUAGCUAGUUGCCCAAAUUACCUACCCGUUUUAUCCAUAAUUUUUCGGAUAAGAAAAAUAGUACCAAUACCCGCAAAUUUACGCAUAAUACACGGGUACUUGCGGGUAUGGGUAGAGAUUGCCGGGUUUAGCU
rnacentral:lncRNA from 1 species